AUGAAAAAUACCAGUUGGAUUAGAAAGAAUUGGAUUCUUGUAGCUGGGAUGUCUUUCAUAGGUGUCCAUCUUGGAACCUACUUUUUACAGAGGUCUGCAAAGCAGUCUGUAAAAUCUCAGUCUCAAAUCAAACAAAAGAGCAUUGAAGAAUGAAGUAAAAUAAAUACUUGGAAUUGCUAAUUUGUUAUUAAAUCAUUAUAUGCUGAUUUAGCUUCAUAAA